GUACGGGGGGGGCAAGCGUUGUUCGGAAUUACUGGGCGUAAAGGCUCGUAGGUGGCCAAUUAAGUCAGACGUGAAAUCCCCAGGCUUAACCUGGGAACUGCGUCUGAUACUGGUUGGCUUGAAUUCGGGAGAGGGAUGCAGAAUUCCAGGUGUAGCGGUGAAAUGCGUAGAUAUCUGGAGGAAUACCGGUGGCGAAGGCGGCAUCCUGGACCGAGAUUGACACUGAGGAGCGAAAGCCAGGGGAGCAAACGGG
rnacentral:rRNA from 1 species